CCUGAUGUUCCCCGUCCCGCAGC
rnacentral:miRNA from 1 species